CAGCAGCCGCGGUAAUACGUAGGUGGCGAGCGUUGUCCGAAGUUACUGGGCGUAAAGCGCGCGUAGGCGGCUUCUUAAGUCUGAGGUGAAAGGUUCAACGCUUAACGUGAACAGUGCCUUGGAUACUGGGGAGCUUGAGUAUGGGAGAGGGCAGUGGAAUGGCUGGUGUAGCGGUGAAAUGCGUAGAUAUCAGUCGGAACACCCAUGGCGAAGGCAGCUGCCGGGCCUAAUACUGACGCUGAGGUGCGAAAGCGUGGGGAGCGAACGGGAUUAGAUACCCCUGUAGUCCCUGUCUCUUAUA
rnacentral:rRNA from 1 species